rnacentral:misc_RNA from 1 species
ACAGCGCACAUUGCCCAUGUGUUCGUUGUACAUAUCAAAUGUGUCAAAAAGUUCCCCAUUCUGACGACGUCUGCUUUUCAACAGGAGCCUGCUGGCACCCGUACGGAAAUUUGAGCCAUUGUCGCGGUUUCGUGAUCGGUUGAGUAUUUGCGAGUGUUGUGAUCGACUGACGGGAGGAAGGACUACGCAGAAAGCACGGAAAUGUCGUUCGCCGAGAAAAUAGCCGGGCUGAUGGCUCGACCGAACCAGGACGCAAUCCCGCGCGACGACGUGCCCUGGUACCUGAAGUAUGCUGGACGGGGGCUGGGCAUCGUUGGCGCCUUCUUUGCUAUUUUGUUCGGCCUGUAUAAUUGUUUAGGUAUUAUCACACUCAACUAUACUUGCCUUAUAUCAGGGAUUCUACAAAUGCUAGCCGGCUUUGUGGUAAUGGCGAUAGAGGCGCCGUGCUGUUGUAUGUUUAUAGAUUACGUUCAACAAUUAGCUGAUAAAGCUGACCAGAGACCAUAUUGGAAUCGGGCAGCACUGUACUGUAUAAUUGCUAUCCCACCGAUUUUGCUAUGUUUCGGACUGGGAAGUCUUUUCGGCUCCGGUUUGAUUUUUGCUACCGGCGCAGUCUACGGAAUGAUGGCGAUAGGGAAAAAAGGAACGCGCGAAGAUAUGGCUGCAGUUGCAUCGCCGACAACAAUGUCACCAGGACAAGGUCCUACAUCGACCGACCAGCAUACAACCCUCAUGGAAGAUCCAGACGUAUGGCGCCCAACAUAAAUCUAAGCGGACUAGAAAACACCAUCGCUCGUUUGUUCGUUUCAUUUAUUACGCGAUCUUCGUGUCAGCCAGCCUACAGUUAUCUUACCUAGUUGAUUUCCAUUCAGCAACCGCCGAGGAAAUGCGUAAUGCAGCCGUUCAAUCUGGUUUCACCGGCACUCCAACAACUAAUGAUCGUGCGAGCAUUGUAAAUAAUGCGCAACCGUUUUCAUUUACAGGCGCUGUAGCGACCGAUAGCAAUGUG